rnacentral:rRNA from 1 species
GAUGAACGCUGGCGGCGUGCCUAACACAUGCAAGUCGAGCGGACAGACGAGGAGCUUGCUCGUCUGACGUUAGCGGCGGACGGGAGAGUAACACGUGGAUAACCUACCUAUAAGACGGGGAUAAUUUCGGGAAACCGGAGCUAAUACCGGAUGAUAUAUUGAACCGCAUGGUUCAAUAGUGAGAGACGGUGUUGGGGUCUCUAAUAGCUGGAUCCGCGCUGCAUGAGCUAGUUGGUGAGGUAACGGCUUACCAAGGCGACUAUGCGUAUCCGACCUGAGAGAGUGAUCGCCCACCCGGGAACUGAGCCGCGCUCCAGACGCCUGCGGUACGCAGCAGUAGGGAAUCGUCCGCAAUGGGCGAGAGCCUGACACAGCAACCCCGCGUCAGUGAUGACGGUCUCCGGAUCGUAAAGCUCUGUUACUGGGUAAGAACAGAUGUGGAAGUAACUGUGGCGUUCUUGACGGUACCUGAUCAAAAAGCACCGGCUAACUACGUG